CCCUUAGAUGUCCGGGGCCGCACGCGCGCUACACUGAAGGAAUCAGCGUGGCUUUCUCCCUGACCCGAAAGGGUUGGGAAACCCGUUGAAUCUCCUUCGUGAUAGGGAUUGGGGCUUGAAAUUGUUCCCCAUGAACGAGGAAUUCCCAGUAAGUGCGGGUCAUAAGCUCGCGCUGAUUACGUCCCUGCCCUUUGUACACACCGCCCGUCGCUGCCCGGAACUGAGCCGUUUCGAGAAGACUGGGGACUGCGAACUUUGGGCUGGAAAACAGCUUUUUGUUUGUGGAAACCACUUUAAUCGCAGCGGCUUGAACCGGGCAAAAGUCGUAACA
rnacentral:rRNA from 1 species